CCUCCAUAAUUUCCAGUCACACCAACCUCUCUCUCUCUCUCUCUCUCUCUCUCUCUGUUUUGUGGGUAUGGAAGAAGAACCUCAGCCCGUUCAGACCAACGGCCAGGGAGGAGGCGGGGACGAGUUCUACGAGGAGAUCGAGGCGCCCAAGUUCGUAGACUUCACCACACCAGAUCACUUCUGUCCCGACGACCGUUAUUGGUUCUGCAUGCGCGUCGGGUGUGAUCAGAAGCAUGAAGAAGAAUUAGACUCUGAAGCAAUAUACAAAAACUUUGUUCUUAGGGUUAUGGCAGCAAGAAGUCCGAAUGUUAAACUUCGAAAAGCACUAAACAGAAAGUCACCAAGUUUGAAAUGCCCACUUACGGCUCCUGCAAAAUCUUCUAAGCCUAGAGUUUCAAGGUUGGCCCUGAUUUCUUCAAUCUCUCAUAAGAUAGUUGAUGCCAAAGAUAAGGCCAGACCUCUCCAUACUAAGAUCACUGCAACAACCCCAAAUGUUAAGGCAAAGCAACCAUCUUCUGUAGCCAAAGCUCUCACUACUCCAAGGAAUAGAAAACCCAUCUCAAAUCCAGAUACAUUUCGAAGUGUUAGGAACUCCAAAGCCAAAAAUGUUGUGGUGCCAAAGAAUAGGGUCGUGGCCAAAGCUUUGGUCUUUACAUGUAAAUUUUUAUAUUUACAUGUAACUGAUGGAGAUUUCAAUUGAUACAGACAUGUGCGGCACAGUUGACAUCCUUGAAACAAGGAAUAAAGAUGGAAUAGCUUUUAAAUCAAUAGCUUCAAUUCCUGGUGGAAAUCAUAGCUGACCUAAGAUCUGAGUUGAAGUAAGCAAGGGUUGAAUUGGAGAGGGUGAAAAGAAACCAAGUGAAGCCUUAAAUAGACAAAUCACAAGGGAAUAUGCUUCAUCUUGCUCUCUUUCAGGUCCAGGGAAUGAAACUGCACUCAACUUCUGGCCUGAAGAACAUUCCAGCAGUGAUUAGAGGUCCGAACCAUAAGUGCUGUAAUCUACUGGAACAAACUUACAAGUUAAGUGCUUCUACUUUCAACAAAUUGUAUGCCCCUUUCUCUGACUUUGUCUCAAUAGUCACGAUAAGUAAGGAGCCUGAGCAACUCAGAAAUGAUGUAUGCAGAGAUUCCUUCGGGUUGAAAGAGACUUGCUUGAGUACUGGGGGACAGUCAUCUUCUGUUCUUUCCCACUCCAGGAUUUUGGCAUGUUCAAUCACUGGCGGUGUUGAAUCUUGUGAAGAUCGACCAAAUGUAAGUAUAUAACUGAAAAUAAAAAUAAGGCCAAGACGAAACCAUUGCUGCUUGAGUACUGGGGGACAGUCAUCUUCUGUUCUUUCCCACUCCAGGAUUUUCGCAUGUUCAAUCACUGGCGGUGUUGAAUCUUGUGAAGAUCGACCAAAUGUAAGUAUAUAACUGAAAAUAAAAAUAAGGCCAAGACGAAACCAUUGCUCCAUCUGGAUCCAGAAGGACAUUUAUAGAAAGUGAUGUGGAUCCUAUAUCAGUUUCAACUUCUGUUAAGGUCAGCAUCAUGGGGAUUUAUAACCGCAGAAAUAGACAUGGAGCUGAUAUAGAUGUGGGCAUGUGGCUGUUUUGAAAAUCAAGGAAAUGAUGUUGUGGACUACAUAGAGGCUCCAAGUAAUCCAACCUUGAUACUGUUAAUGUUACAGAUGUGAAAGUAUCACAAUAAUCAAGUGGAUCUCCUAGUCAGAUGCUCCUCAUCCGAAUGAGGCAAACAAUGCAGAGUCAGUGCGCAACUUGAGGCCGGAGGGUUUUCUUAUUUUUGAUAGGUGAGGCUUGCAUAGGAUGAUGGGAGUGGGGAGUAAGCAAGAUAUUGGUUCUACUGAUGGUUGAGCGGGAGUCCUAGGAGCCAUGGCGAUGAUUUGUGAGAUGGGGUUGAGACUCUUCACUUGAAAUCAGCUAAUGAUUAUGAGCUGGGUAAGUAUGAUGGACAUACUGGUCUGUUGGCAUAUGAACUUGGGGAGUUAGCUAUGGAAAAUGAGCUUUGGUGCCAAUGGCAAGGUUGCUGUUUUCCAAAUUUUCUGUUAUACUCAUUUGCUAUAUUCCUAGGUUGCAGAACUUAUACUCGUUCAUAUGCAGCAUAUCUGCUGUGUUCCAAAUUUGAUGUUAUACAGUUAUACUCUUUCAGCCAUUCUUCAUUUACAUUACAUCAGAUGUUUGUGGUAAAUGCCGGUAAUGAGUUCAAGCUGCUUUGGAACUCAGCAAGUAGAUUUCUUGACCCUAGAACUACUGGAAAGAUACAUGUGUUAUAGGCAACAGAUAAUCGAAACAAGUUGGAAGUUGUACUUAAGGUCGAUCAAGAAAAUCUUACCACCUGUUAGAAUAGUUCAAUUUGAAUAGAUAAUAUGAUAUUUUGAUUUUUUGUUAAUCAUGUUAAAAACAUAAUAUUGCAACCUAAUGUCUGAACGGUAAACUUCCAGAUUUCCUUGGGGGAGCUUGCUCAUCGAUCGUGUCCCUGGAAGAACUCGAGUGAAUAACAUUUCUGCCACAAAUAUUGAUACUUAUUAUGAGCUUUUCUUGACAGGAAACUUGUAUCAUUACUUAUAUAUAUGACGCUGGUAAGCAUGGGAGAAGCAAUGUGUUUCUAUAUACAAUUAUAUAUAGACUCUCAUUUGAUGCUUUCAGUUAUGACUUACGAGUGCAUCUCGGAAGGCAAAGGCAGGAACACAAAGGAUUUAUCUGAAAUGAAUAUUGGAUCGAACCAAAUAACUGAAACACACCUAGAAGUAUAUCGAAAAAUUGGAGAUUGGCCAUU